rnacentral:rRNA from 1 species
GUCCCCUAGUAACGGCGAGUGAAGCGGGAAGAGCUCAAAUUUGAAAUCUGGUAGCCUUCGGUUGCCCGAGUUGUAAUCUAGAGAAGUGUUUUCCGUGCCGGCCCAUGUACAAGUCCCUUGGAACAGGGCGUCAUAGAGGGUGAGAAUCCCGUCCUUGACAUGGACCCCCGGUGCUUUGUGAUACACUUUCAACGAGUCGAGUUGUUUGGGAAUGCAGCUCAAAAUGGGUGGUGAAUUCCAUCUAAAGCUAAAUAUUGGCGAGAGACCGAUAGCGAACAAGUACCGUGAGGGAAAGAUGAAAAGCACUUUGGAAAGAGAGUUAAACAGUACGUGAAAUUGUUGAAAGGGAAACGAUUGAAGUCAGUCAUGCUCUUGGGACUUACCUCCCUUGAGUGGGGUCAACAUCAGUUUUGAUCGAUGGAUAAAGGCACGGGGAAGGUAGCACUCUCGGGUGAACUUAUAGCCUCGCGUCAUAUACAUUGAUUGGGACUGAGGAACGCAGCAUGCCUUAUGGCCGGGAUUCGUCCACGUACAUGCUUAGGAUGUUGACAUAAUGGCUUUAAACGACCCGUCUUGAAACACGGGACCA